CUGCGAGUUCGCGGGAGAGUAAGUUAUUGCCAGGGUUUUUAUUUUAUGCUUUAAACAUUGAUUUUAUUUUUUAUGUUUUUAGAUGUUCAUGUUUUUGAAUGUUUUAUUUAAAUAAUAUAAAAAAUAAAAUAUAUAUUGACAUGGAUUAAACAAAGAUAUAUAUUAUUCUAUGUUGCAUAAACAAAUUGGCAAAAUAGAGAUGGAAGAUAAAAAUAUGGUCAAAGUAAUAAGAGUCUAUGGUGAAUGCCUAGGA
rnacentral:misc_RNA from 1 species